rnacentral:piRNA from 1 species
UAUACUCAUCGAAUUUCCGUA